rnacentral:ribozyme from 11 species
CCGCAAACACAAAAGCAGCAGCAGAGACAAAAGAGAAGGAUGCAACAAAGAAGAGGACAAAAGAGAAGGACGCAACAAAGAAGAGGAAAACGUCACAUUCUCUUCCUGCGACCCAUCCGAUCCAUCUUCUUCCUCUGCCCCACCGUUUUUCGAGUCUCCUCCCCUUUCUUCUUCUUCUUCUCCUUCUUCUUCUUCUUCUUCUGCGUA